CGGCCGACGGUCCACCUUAGGUAUCGCCGCCACAGUGGGCCGGCCGCCAUGUUUGCCAUGGCAAAGGGGGGCGGGGCUGCGUGCGACUCGGAAGCGGAAGUUGGCUUGUCGUCGUCAGAUCUCAAACAUCUGCGGAGGAGAACGAGUUUCCAAUUGGACUUGCGAGCUUCCUGUUCUCUCACCAAGCCCCCAUCCCCAUCCCCAUUUACGGACCACAGAUGCCACAGCUGCUUUCAAUCUGGACAGGCUACAGAAACAAGGCCUGACUUUUACCUUCUUUCUGACUCGCAGGCGAUCAUGUGAUCAGUUGAAGAGGAAGAACUGAAUUAUUGUCCAGGUGUCCACUCUCCAGAAAUGGAAGCCACAUAUGUAAGUCUCCAUCCAGUCUUAACUGUAAAGUUUUGAGCAAGUCCCAAGUUAGUGUGGCAAAGCUGACUCUAUUAUUGUCUUUUCAAGUAAACGUAUUAGCGACAUUCAGGUUAGUUCAUAUUUGACCAGCUAUCGGUGAGCUAAACUGUGACGUUAAAGUGGGACUUUGCAAUUUAAAGAAAAAAAAACAAAACAACACUUUUUGAUCAUUUUCUGAAUUAAUAACAUUUCUGCUCAACGCGUUUAAUUAUCACCUCUAUUUGACAAAUGGCAAACUAUCUUGAAAAAAAAGCAGAUUUUCACUGUCGUUAAAGUCAAGUGAAGUCUUUCCUCAGUUUUAGCCAAGCUAAUCCAAAACCCAGAAAUUGGUAACAUACAUCUACUGGGAGUCAAGUCAUGUGACUGGAGUCCCCCUCCUCAGCCCCUCUGCACAAUUUUUGACUGCCUUCUAAUUGCGUCCACAUGUCGGGAUGAGUGACGUCUGCAAUUAUGACUCGGAAAAUAAGAGUCGGGAGGAACCGCUGCAUCACCGUUUCGUUGUCAAAAAGAUACAGGUUCUUUGGCCAUGAAAACAUACACGUGAGAUGUUAAAAACAAUGCGCACAAAGUCAACCUGAAAGUAGAGGAAGCGUAUUUCCAUAUUCCCUUAAUGCUUCGUUCAACAGCACAAAGUAUAAAUAUGAACACGUACAAAAAGGAGGAACUAGAAAGGCUCUUGGUAGAGCGCAGACCUCCGUCAAGGUCAAACAAGACUGAAUUGUUCAUUGAUACACACCUCUUUUAUAUGCAUGAAUUUUUAUAAAAUCCAUGCAAUAUUAACUGCGAAAAUUAAGACAAAUGAUGGGGGAAAAAACAUUGAAUACUUUCUUGACACAGCCCUUAAGUUUUGUUUACUAUGUUAACAAACAAAAACAAAACAAUGAAAUGACAAAACCUGUUUUUAAAAUGUUUACUACAUUCCAUGAAUAUAAAUUGUCUUUAUGGCAUUAUUUAAAGCACCUUUUACUUUGUACCACACAAAUACAUUCUGUUUAAUAUGUGCUGGAAUGAAAGUAUAAUCAUAUGCGUAUAAGUAAGAAUGACCUUUUAAAAUGAGCAAACAAACAUAGAUCAUUAAUCAAUACAUGUACAACACUUGCAUUAUUCCAUACCUUGCAAAACACACACACACACACACACACACGGACAAAAACACUCACACACACAAACACACCAACAUGCACUCCAGAAAACAAUUUGGUCACUGCUCAACCAGCCGAAGUUCGCCGAGUAAAAGCAGUACUUCACAGUAACACAAAAAAAAACUACAACAUGACAUCAUCCGCAAACGUUGAAUGGAGGCAACUGGACUAUUGUUUGUUGAAAACCUUUCACCUGUAAUCCAAAAGGCUCCUUCAGUUUGAAAUAAUAUUAUUAUGUUUUGGCGGUAGCCAGCGGGGCGGCACGGUUGGCGACGGGUUUGAGCGUCUGCCUCACAGUUCUGAGGACCGGGUUCAAUCCCCGGGCCCCGCCUGUGUGGAGUUUGCAUGUUCUCCCCGUGCCUGCGUGGGUUUUCUCCGGGCACUCCGGUUUCCUCCCACAUCUCAAAAACAUGUGUGGUAGGUUAAUUGAUGACUCUGAAUUGCCCGUAGGUGUGAAUAUGAGUGUGAAUGGUUGUUUGUUUGUGUGUGCGCUGCGACUGGCUGGCAACCGGUUCCGGGUGUACCCCGUCUCCUGCCCCGAUGAUAGCUGGGAUAGGCUCCGGCAUACCCGCGCCCCUAUUGAGGAGAAGCGGCUCAGUAAAUGGAUGGAUGGUACCCAGCAGUGUUGUCGACGAGGACACCCAGACUCUUAACCUAAGCAGAGGGAAAAAGCUACAAUUGCUCAGAGGGAAACUGUUCAUCUUGGCAAGUGUGGAUUUAGACACGAUUCAGUUUUGUCGCAGUUAAUUUUGAGAACGUUUGCAUGAAACCAGAGGGGCGGGGAGAAGAUUUGGGUUUGCUGGAGAGUCAGAGCUGGGUGUCAUCCGCAUAGCAGUGAAAUUGGAUGUUAUAUUUGCGGAAGAUAUUGCUGAUUGGGAUAACUGUUAUUUUCCUUUGUUUAACAGUGUCAGGCGAUUGAGAACAGUUUCUCAUUUAUAAUGCAGUGUCUUGUCCACGGACACUUCUACAGAGGACAAUCAGAGCCAAGAUUCAAACCGCCGACCCUCUGGUCAGUGGACGAGCCUGCUCUACCAACUGAGCUGUAGCCGCCCAAUAGAUAGAAGUAUGUGAUGAAGAGUAGGGGCCCCAAGACAGAGCCCUGGGGACCACCUGUGGUGAGUGGGGACAGCUGGGAAGGGAUUGAUUUAAGCUGAAUCAACUGAGUCUACAAAUCUCAGGCGUGGAGUUCCUUUGGAGACAUGACGAGGUUAAAAGAGAACUAAAGAACCCUCUUCGAUUAAAGGUGAACAAACAACAAGAGUCCCGUUGCGUCCCUUUAACUCUUGCGCAUUACUUGGACCUUAAUAACUGACAUUCUACACUGACAUACAGUAUAACAUCCUCGUCAGACUUGUAAGCCAACUUUGUGGGGAAAAUAAUUAAGUGUCUCUGAGCUCACGUGGCGACCCAAAGAAUGGAGAUAUUGCUGCCGCCCACGUGCGAGAUCUGGUUGAUGCGUCCGCGGAUGCAGUCCAGGGUGACAUAGACGGCGGUGCCAUUGUGGACUCGGAAGGAGGCUCUCAGGCCCACGCUGGCCCACUGGCUGCCCUGUGGCAUGUGUCCGGAAACCUGCUGAGCCACGGGAGUGGCCGGCCCACCCGGACCGCCGGCCCGCUGGAGAGUCACCUUAACAACGUUACACGAGUGGAUGAGCCUCAGGUUCAGGGCGAUGUUGGCAGUGCCCUCUUCCAGGAACACAAAGUUAUUGCGGCUGUUUGGCUCUCCCGAGCGAGCCAGGCGGACCUGCUGCGAGUCCGGAGAGAUCUGCUGGAAGGCGAGCAGCUUGUUGCGGACCGCACCGAGUGGGAGGCCCACCUCGGCCACGGUGGCGGUCAACGUGGACGAGACGGCCGAGGGGAUCCAGAUCAGGCUGAGAGUGCUGAUGCCGGUGCCGUCUCCGAAAUAACGAACGUUGCACUGUGAUGGCGACGUGAUCUCGAAGCUGAGCGUGUCGCCGCCGCCCACGGCCACGGAUCCCGCCAGCGUCACAGAGGUGUCCCUGUAGUUGACGCCCGUCUUGAAGGCCCUUGUGGCCUCCUGGCCCGUGCCAUUGUGGCUGGUGUAGGCGAUCAGGAAGAAGCCCUCACGGACGCAAGUGUGCCCCAUAGCGUAGAGCGCCUGUUGGAGGUUGAACUUGACCACACCAUUCUCCGUGAAUCGCACGCCACGGUUGUCAUGCGUCAAGCCGAUCACGUAAGGGUCGGACACCGACGUCACACGGAACGUCGGGCGGUAGCUGGACUGGUAGUGUACCAGCAGGGACAUUUCGGCAGUCAUGGCCACGGCGCCCGUGUCAUGCGACAACCACAGCAGGCUCAAGGUAGGCGUGGCAAUGUCGUAGACGUGGAGGUCCUUGCUCUGGUUGCAGUGCUGGUUGGGGCUCCUAAGGAGAAGACUCACGGUGUCGUUAGGCUCCACCUCUACCCCGCCACUGACGCUCACGGCCUGGAAGUACUUCCCGUCAGGCUGCUCCACGCGUACUCCACUGAGCUCCUGACUUUCCUCCUGCUGGCUGGCGUUGAACCUCAAGCCCACCUGGAGGAAGUUCCUGCAGCUGUGCUCGAUGGCCACAUUGUAGUCCAGCCACAGCAGCCCGUGCUGCACGAACGUCACCGGGCCACCCUCGCUGGACAGAAGAUUGCUACGCUCCUUGCUGCGCACGCUCAGCUGAAGCCCGGCAAAGAUGUGGCCUCCAGACUUCCGGGCUGAGGGAACGGUGACGCUGGCGCUCCAGGACUGGGAGAGACGCGCCCCAGAGGGCGAGUCGCAGACGGAGUCGGCGACAGUGGUGCAGGGGACGACGACAGGGUCACCGUCGCAGUCGGAGCAGGCCUGACACUCCUGAAUCUCUUGGUUGAAGAAGUAGUCGUGGCCGCACAAGCCCGUCUCCGCUUCUCUUAGGGAUGCUCCCAGACACCGGAAGCCUCCUGAGGCCCCAGGAGAAAAUACCAUCAAGUCAUCGCAAAACAAUUCCUGGUGGUGAUUGUUGCCCGUUGACAAACCUGGAGUGUUCAGACAUUUGACUCGCACGCCGCAGACGUUUGCUACUUCGAGGCAUUCAUCUCUGUCCUGUGAAGCAAACGGUGAAGAGUAGACAUUGCGAAGUGGUACACAAGUUCAAGUCCUAUUUAUUUUUAUGAGGAAACUGUAAACGGUGAACUUCAUGUGACUGCUUGGUAGUUUUGUCUGAGGGGGUGGAACUUUGUCUCUCAGAUUGAAAGUAAAUUCCCUAUGUGUAUGGUACGCUCAGAAACUUCAACAACACGGUUAUGAUGAUGAUUAUUGCUGAUGGUGGCGGCUAACGAGCUAACGUAUCUUUACUAAUGUCCUUUACCAAAGUGAAAAUGCAAAGAACGAAUGAUGCACGUAAUAUGAAGGCUUGCCGGAGGUUUGUCUUGAAGGUCGUAAACUCUGCGAGUACCUGGCACACGGUGUCCGUGGUGGGCGAGCACUGCAAUAUGAGGAAGAAUCCCGGCGGACACACGGUGCACUUGUGGCACUGCGGCGGAUCACUCCGGAAGUCGCAGUAGUGGUCCGGCUGGCAGGCAGAGGGGCACCCCGACAGCUGCUGCGGGAAAAGAGCCGCGCCCGCCGCCUCCGUCACCUUGGCGUCCGUGUCCACCUUGUGGACGGCGUUGUGCAGGUGGCUGCGGGCCUGACUCUGGAGGCCCGCGAGGUGGGUACGGAAGUAGCUCUGCAGCUCCCCCCGCAGGUCUUGGAAAGACGCCCGCUUGAGCACGUCGGCCAGGAGGCCGUAGUGGGCCUCGACUGCUUCCAUCUGCUCGUACAUGCCGCGCUGCUGCGUCAGGAUGUCGCGCUGCUGCGACAGGAGCACCACCUGCUGGUCAGCCAGCUUCUGCUGCAACUCGCCGAUGAGGAUCUGCUGCGCCUGCAGAGCCUCCACCAACUUCUCCUGACCCUUAGCCAGCUGGAGGUGGAGGAUGAGGGCGUCCUCUGAGGGGACCUCAUUUUCUCCUGGGUGAGCUGGACACCCAGAGGCGCAUCACCGAGUUCUGAAGACUCGGGGAAGUCUCCCAGUAACUGCGCGGCUCUAUCGGCCAGAUGGACCGGGGGGGGCGGCGGCGAGCUCUCCACCGCGUCCCUGGACCGCCCUCGGGGUCUGAUGAUCCGCAGCGGGAGCCGACACUCCAACCCUUUGCAGUCCCGCGUCUGGUUGCCGGUCACGGGCGCCCUCACGCAGUCGGUGUCGCGGCACGGCGGGGCAACGGCCGCCGCGCUUCUCGGCCGGGGACUCCCCAAGGAGGGGGCGUGAUCCGGGCUGCCGGUCUGAGGGUGACGCGGCGGUCUGGACGACCCGCCCGCGGGACAGUGGUCACCGGUGCACGGUCGCGGGUCUCCGGUGCCGGAACACGAGCGGCGGCCCCCCUCGCACGAGUCAGCGUCCGCAGACGCCAGGACCAGUAGCAACAGCACCGACGACGUCGACGGCAUCUCGCGUCACGGACGACGGGCCGGUGAGCCUGGGCCCUGCCGCCAAUGGACAAAAUCUGUGAGUAAUUGACACCCCCAGAAUGGGUCAAAUGUACUGUAAUUACUUAUACAUGCCACAAGAUGGUGGGAAAGGACUACUUUUGUCUAAAUUAAGCUCCUCAACUCACUUCAGCACCAAGAUGCCACCAGAUGGCGCCAAAGCACUUGUGUUGUUGCUUUGCCCCUAGCACAAAAACAGUGAAUAGGUGAAGUUUUCAGUUUAUAAUCGAAUCGGACAAAUAUGCAGCGCUGCAUUAAGUUAGACUAUCAUGAGGAUUUUUCUUACACCGCAAGUAUAGAAUCUGUACUGAAAUAUGGGAUUACCUGUUGGUUUGCUAAUUUUGCACUUACAUUCUAAGAAUACAAUCUUUAGAUUCAUAAAACUAGCGGAAAAAUUCACCAGUCAUGUAAUACAUCAACAAAAGAAGGUGAAAAAAUCUUAUCGGAGUACAAAUGAUGAAAGUCUGUCCGAAGAUAUAAGGUACCAACCGCUGUGCAAAUAU